AGACUUUAACUAAUAAACUGUACUAAUUGGCCCGACCAAAAAUUCUAGAAAAAAAUAUGUAGAUGGACAUAGGAGUCUAGUUUCAGGGAAAAAUCACGAAACUGAUUUUUGAGUUGUGAAACUCAAGAUAUGAUUUUUAAGGUGACAGCGACACUGUUAGCCAGCUGUCUGGAAAAAUUUAAAAUGGACUGCGAUAGUAAGCGAAUUUAGUCUGUGAACCCCUCGUGUCCGACUCCGGCAACGGUCUCGGGUAUGGGGUGUUACACAAUUCAAC
rnacentral:lncRNA from 1 species